AGCAGCCGCGGUAAUUCCAGCUCCAAUAGCGUAUAUUAAAGUUGUUGCAGUUAAAAAGCUCGUAGUUGAAUUUCGGGAUCAAAUUGUUGGUCGUGCCUCGGUACGCACUGGUAUUAUUGGUUCCUACCUUCUGAAGAACCGCGAUGUCAUUAAUUUGGUGUCGUGGGGAAUCAGGACUGUUACUUUGAAAAAAUUAGAGUGUUUAAAGCAGGCUUACGCUUGAAUACAUUAGCAUGGAAUAAUGAAAUAGGACGUUUGAUUCUAUUUUGUUGGUUUCUAGGAUUGACGUAAUGAUUAAUAGGGAUAGUUGGGGGCAUUAGUAUUCAAUUGUCAGAGGUGAAAUUCUUGGAUUUAUUGAAGACUAACUACUGCGAAAGCAUUUGCCAAGGAUGUUUUCAUUAAUCAAGAACGAAAGUUAGGGGACCGAAGACGAUCAGAUACCGUCGUAGUCUUAACCAUAAACUAUGCCGACUAGGGAUCGGAUGAUGUUAAUUUUUAAUGACUCAUUCGGCGCCUUACG
rnacentral:rRNA from 1 species